UCCGCGCCUCCUCUCUCGUUCCCUGUGGCCUUACCCGCUCCACCCAAUCCCCUUCCACGCCUCCUCCUCCAAUCCCCUCAUGAGCCUCCUCUUCCAAUGGCAGCCGGCGACCGGGCGGAGGUUGGAGGUCGGAACAGCAGCACCAGGGACUUGGACCACCGGGAUGGAGGAAGCAGGCCAUAGCACGGCCGUCCAGCAGUGGGGAUUGAUGUGCGGAUGGCGGCUGCCUGGAGAGGAAGGGGAAGCGCAAGGCGUGGGAGACCGGUGCUGAACAGAUGAGCAUGGGCUGCUGAUGAGCUGAGCUUGGUUCUAAUCGAUACACCGCUCGCAGAUUCUAUUUAAUCUAUGCCUAUGAGGUGUUUGAUGGAACUACAAUCAGG